rnacentral:lncRNA from 1 species
GAACACAAAAUGGCGACACGUGGUUAGCAUUCGUCGCCAACGAGAAAUUGGGGUCGGCCCGAAAGCUCUAGAAUGCACCCCUCUUCCUCCCCGGGGCCUUCCACCUCCGCGAGUUUUAUGACUUAAAAAAGCCCACAGGCUGGUCUGAAGAGGAAGACAAACAUAAAGAUGAAGUGCUUAAUUCAAGGUCACACAAUGUCGGGGAUGGACCUCCAGAUUUCCUUACUGACCUGCAUUAUCUUGUGGAUACCUGAGUGAAUUCCACACCACCCAUUUUAUAGAUGAAACCACUGAGACAUGGAGCAAUUGACUGAGUAGUCACUGCCCCACCCCUGCCUGGAGCCUCACACAUGACUCGCCUCCUCUCAGUGACCACAGGUUGGUUGAGGGGUUUAACAAGGCUAAGAAGGUGAGACGUGGUCUUGUAACACAGUGGUUAAGAAUGUGACUUUGGAGCCAGCCUGCUAGGGGCUGAAUUCUGACUCAGCCAUUUACUAACUGUGUGACCUUAGGUCACAGAAUUUUCCACACUCCUUGACAGAGGUGCUUAACCCUUAUCCAUCAGCAUUCU